rnacentral:lncRNA from 1 species
UAGAAAUCGGACCCCAUUUAGAGAACAGAGAACGGCGCAAACCCGAGCUCCCUUCUCUAUUUUGCUUCUUCAUUUCUCAACACAGGCGAAGAAGAAGACCUUCACCUUCACAGACCCUCACUCCCUAGCUCUCAUCUCUCUUUGUCUCAACUACAAAAAACAGUAACGGUACCCCUCUCCAAGGAGGUCUUCUAUACUAUUUUUCUGGGUUUUGAAAAUUGGAUUUCAAAGAAUAUUUAAGAAGGGUAUUGAUUACUGGAGUUUCAAAACUUCAAUUUCCUCUUUUAUGGACUUAAACGAAGCUAUCAAAGCGCAAAUUUGUGGUUGUUUAUCGUUGAUGUUGCUGGAUUCCAAAAGGUUAUUGAAUUCUUUUGUCUUUCUGUAUUUAGGUAAGUUCUACACUUUGUAAUUAUACCAGCUUGAGUCAAUGAACGAAAAAUCUGGUGUUUUGAUUUUGCCUAUCAUGUAUUUGGUUUCCUUGUUUGUUACUGAUGCUACGAUCUCUCUUAGGUGUAUUUGAUGUUGCAUUAUUAAUAUGCGUUGAACAUUUUACUUAGCUACGUUUUGUAUUUGAAUGAAUUUAAAGUCGGCUUAUGUGCAGUAGCUCAAAAUAUAACACUCAUAUGGAUCAAUUUGAUAUCUAUGGUCAGUUAAGCAUAUAUCAUUAGUUGUUAAACCAUUUGUUAGCCUUGAAUGAGGUUGAAAUUUUGCUUAAAUUUUUGUAGAUUUAGCUAUAAUUCAAACAGAAGUUUAUCAUAGUACUCUAUGUAUGAAAUUAGUAAAUUGGGGAUGCCAAAAAGCUGUAAUUACUGAGUACAUGGCUAUAGUUUGCAUAUCUGGCCACUAGUUGGUUAUAUCAGUAAAAUCUAAAGCUAAGGAUUGGAAUUGAAGUCGUUGGUGUAAAGAAGAUUAAGCUGAAGAUUAGUUGUUCCUUGUUUAGGAUAGCUAUUAUUGCUUUCUGCAUAUAUUAGAAUGAACUACGUCCAUUAUCAUCUUUGAGAAUUGUAAUUGAGGUGACCAAAACUAGAACUUCCAUUUAUAUUUGUUGUAUUUAAUUCUUGUUCUAUAUAAAAGUCUGAACCAGUUUAGAUGUACUGAUCUAUUCUUAAAAGUGACCAUUCGCUUGGUCAAUGCAUUUGUAGUGUUUCAAUGCCAUCAAUUGGUAAUUUUGCUUAUUCUCUUUGUUUUUUGGUUUCCAAAUACUGAUACUUCCUAAGUGCUUCUCCAUUCAAUGGCAAAGUUUAGUGGUUGGUACACUUCUGUAAUUUUAGAUUUAUGUAAUGAUAUUAGUUCCACUUUGAUGGAAUACAUGUCCUAGUUUCCUUUACCUCCUUGGUCACGAAGAGAAAAUAAAGAGCUAGAAAGCAUCUACCUUCUAUUAUUAAAUUAUUACAACUACAGGUAUGGUUCUCAUGAUGUGGUUAUGAUACCUAAUUUUAAAUUAGAUUAAAAUAGGAGUAUCUUUAGUUUGCCUUAGAAAAAAUACAAAUCUUUUCUUUUAAAAAUAGGUUGAGAUGUGCCAUACGCAAAUAAAAUCCAUAACCUAUGGCCCUCAUAUUAAUAUUAAGUUAGUAUAGAAAAACACCCUUUUAAACACUCGUAGUUUGCUUUAGGCGUGUUUAUAAUAAAAUCAUUAUGGCUACGGGUACAGUUCCCGUGACGUAGUUGUGAUACCUAAUUCCUAAAUCCGCGGGUACAUUUAUGUGAAAUUUUUCAUUAAUUUAAACAUGUUGUAGAUCGUGGGUACGGUUCCCGUGACAUGAUUCGCAAUAUGUAACAAUAAAUAAAUAAAAGUGGUUAUAAAGUUAAACAUGCACAAUAGGUUUAGAACAUGUAGUUAAUCAGAUAAUAGGCCAAUUAUUAAUAGUUUGAGCGACCGUGCUAGAACCACGCAACCCGGGAAUGUCUAACACCUUCUCUCGGGUUAACAGAAUUCCUUACUUAAAAUUUCUGGUUCGCAGACUUUUAGAAUAAAGUCGAAAUUUCCUCGAUUUUGGGAUUUUAAAAUAAACCCGUGACUUGGGACACCAAAUAAACUAUUUCAAAUGGCGACUCUGAAAAUUUAAAUAAAAUAAUCUCAUUUCGAAUAAUGUCACUUAAAUUGAAAAAACUCCUAUAUACCCUCGAGGUGUAAAAAGGAGGUGUGACACUCACGAUCACUCCAUCCUUACGGUCGCUCGACACUCACACUCGCACUUAGUAGGUAGCUGCUCUCACUGUGGAUGUGCAGACUCCGGAGGGGAAAUUCCAGCACAAGCACUAUAAUAAGCCAAUCAUGGCAUGAAUCAAAAUAACAUGUUGUGGCGUGCAGGCUGCUCCCAUAAAUGUUCCCACAAUCAGGCACUCGAUCUCACUCAGUCAUCGAUCUCUCCAGUCUCUCGGGCUCUCACAAUCAUGAUAAUCAACGCAAACAAUGAAGAUUUAAUGUAUCAACAACAAAGACUGAGAUAUAAUAUGCAAUAAAAGUUGUGACUGAGUACAAAAUGACAAUUAAGAAAAUAACUCAACAUGUAAAACGACCUCUGAGGGUCCCUACAGCACCAACACGUAACCUAUGCAUAAUCUCUAAACAUAACUGGCAGCACAAUUUCUUUAACACAUGGUGAAAAUACAGAUAGACAAGAUUAAUCAACUAUAUAAUUCCAUGAAAUUGACCAAGUUAUUACGGUGCACGACCACACGCCUGUCACCUGCAUGUGCAUCACCUCAACACCAAUCACAUAACACAUAAUUCGGGGGUUUCUACCCUCAAAACCAAGUUUAGAAGUGUUACUUACCUCAAACUGUGCAAAUCUCUACUCCAACAAGCUAUCGCCUCGCAAAACGGCCUCCGAAUGCAUCGAAUCUAGCCACAAACAGUUGGAUACAAUCAAUACGAGCUAAAGAAAUCAAUUCCAUAAGAAAACACUAAGUUCUUAAUCAAAAGUCAAAAAGUCAACUCAAGCUGACCCCCGGGCCCAUGUCUGGAAUCCCAAGUGACUUAGCUCAAGAAACCCCUCGAAAAUCCUCUUAAAAAUCGUCCCAAUACGAGUUUGCAAAGUCCAAAAUGAGAAAAAUAACGAAACCCUUCGGAUAUAACACUAUCAGUAGUCUUGCACCUAUGACCCGCUUAACCGCAUAUGCGGUCCCGUAGGUGUGGAUAUUUCUCUGCUUCUGCGGCCAAGUCUGGGAUCUAUGCAUUCGCUUCUGCGAUCUCCCACACGCAGGUGCGAGGCCGCAUCUACCGAACUCCCUAUGCAUCUGCGCUCUAAGGCUUCCUUCACUUGGCCCGCUUCUGCGCCCCUUAUUCCAUAUUUGCGACCACGCAUGUGCGGAAAUUCCCUCGCACCUGUGACCAAUACACAUUCCUCUCUGCAUCUAUGCUCCUCUGCUCGCACCUGCGAUUAAACUUCGCAUGUGCGAUUGAACUAGAACUGGUGAGCUUUAGUAGGCUUCCAAAUUCCAAGCUUGAUAUGUUAAUCAUUCGAACUCCACUCGAGGUCCCCAAGACCUCAACCAAAAAUACCAACGAGUCCUAAAAUACGAUACGAACUUAGUCGAGCCCUCAAAUCACAUCAAACCUUACUAAAACCACGAACCGUGCAUUGAUUUAAGCUUAAUGAACUUUUGAACUUCUAACUUCUACAUUCAAUGCCGAAAUAUAUCAAAUCACGUCCAAUUGACCUCAAAUUUUUCACACAAGUCACAAUUGACACAACAGACGUACUCCAACUCCCAGAACCACAAUCCAAACGCGAUAACCACAAAGUCAACUUUCGGUUAAACUUUUAAAUUUUCAACUUUCGUCAUUUCAAGCCUAAUUCAACUACGGACCUCCAAAUCACAAUCCAGACACAUUGCCAAGUCCAAAAUAACCCAACGAAGCUAACGGAACCAUCAAAACUCCAUUGCGAAGUCGUUUACACAUAAGUCAAUAUCCGGUCAACUUCUUCAACUUAAGUUUCCAACCUGGAGACUAAGUGUCUCAACUCAUUCCGAAACCUCCCCGGAACCGAACCAACUACCCCGGCAAGUCACAUAGCAACUACUAAGAAUAAAAUGAGUAGUAAAUGGGGGAACAGGGCUAUAACUCUCAAAACGACUGGUCGGGUCGUUAUAGUAUCCAUGUAUACUUGUAUGUGUGAUACAUGUGUCGCAAAAGAAUUUUUUGAACUCGAUUUUAACUGCGAAUUUUGAUACCAAAUCAGUCCAAAUUACCCCCAAUCUUCCUCAAAAUUUGUGUAUUGACUCAUCUAUAUAUUUUCAAUGAAUUUCAACCUUACUCAUUGAAAAAGGUCCCUCUUUGCUUAAAUAUUUGGAAUCUUAUAUACUUUUUUUAUAUUUCAUCACGUUGUUUGCUACCUCAUUCAUAAAAUUUUCUUUUCAUUUUGCAUCUAAUGUUGCUGAUCACGCUUAAAAUAUGGAAGGGAUCUUUGCGUAUGAUUUUUGGAGAGAAAGAACCUUAUUUAUUCAGAUUUUUAAUUUUUAUAUGUGAUUGGCUAGUUUUGAUAGGUUUAUGAUUAAUAGCUAGAAAAUGACUAGAUGUUGAUAAGUGGAACUUAUUUGGGAUAUUUAUGUAAGAUUCUCCGUAGAAAAAUCUACAAGUAUUUAACUAUUGGAUUGUUGUAUCCUGAGAAGGAUUGUUUGCGUCUUCCCUAAAUUGGCAAAUAUCUUAUUUAAGAAAAAUCGUUCUCGUCUCACGCCUCAAGCCUUUUCUCCUUCUCGUUUUCAGCAUUGCUAAAAUUAGUAAUACAAUACUCUCUGGCCUCUGCCUCCUGCUUCUUAAGUGCCUUUUCCAUUUGUGAAAUAUCGCUUUUCUUCAAUAAAUUCUUUUUUAUUUAUGACAUGUCACUUAUUAAACUUAGGAGGCCGUUUAAUUUGGAAGCAAGGAACUUAAUAAUGUAAGAAUCAUAAGGUGAAAAUUCUUAAUGCAAAACUAUUUCUUAUUGGAUAUUUAAUCUUUUUUUUUUUAAAAAAAGCCAGUCAUAUAUAGUGUAUAAUUUGAAAUAUGUAUUCAUUCUUUAGCAAAAUUAUUUAUUAUAUGAAAGUCAUUUUAGUAUUUUGAUAUGUUUAUUGUUAAUACUUGCAUUAUUAUUUUAAAUUUUAUUUGUAUAAAAUACUACAUAAAUUUUUGCAUAACUUAUGCGUGUAUUAGUUAUGCAAAAGAGAACUAUAUAUACAUCGUAUUAACAAUGAAUAUGUAACUGAGACGCAUUAACUGCGAAGCACAAAACAGUAGUUUAUGUAUAGAACAUUGUUGGUUCUUUGCCUCACUGUUCUAAGGAAGCUCAGAUUAUGUUGAGCUGCUACCGUCCCUGUACAAUUCGGAGCCUAGAAGGAAAAUGCAUCACACACAGAUCCCUCCAUUGACUGAUCACUAGCUUAGAAAGUAUAUAUUUGGCACAAUGAUUAGUGCAUAUGCUAAUUUUCAUUCUUAACUUUCUCAUCAAAUGAAACAUAUAUAACUUUUUAAUCAUAAAAAGUGGCGACUUCAAAAUCAUAUUUUGAUUGGGAGGAUUACUUAUGAAUAUGCACAAGUGCUCUUGAUAUUAUACGAGUUCGUCAAUUACUUCGAGAAACAAAUAUUAUACAUAAAGCAAAAAAAGAAGAUGAGCUAUAACACGACACAAAUGUGGACGUUGCACAGCUUCAACUAGCACAGCAGUGCCAUUGUAGUCUUAGUCUCAUUAUCCUGAAGCAGAUGACACAUUGCAUCAUAAGAUGAACCUCCCUUAGCUUACUUAGAGCAUUCUCUGCACUCACCUUUAAUUCCUUCACAUUUUCUCUCAUUAGCUUUCCUUCUUCAUACUGCAAAAUCAUCCUCACCAUUUUCGCUAUAUCCUCUCUUCCCACCACUUUCUUUGUGUUAGGACAGGAAAAUUCAGGUGUCAUGCGGAAGCUAGUAAGCAAGUCUUGAAUGACGAUAAAUCAGAUAAUAAAAGAGAAAUAUACCAAACGAGACACAAACAUUUAAUGUGGUUCGGUCAAUUGACCUACGUCCACGUCGGAGAUGAACAAUUCACUAUAUAAAAAAGAAUACAAAAUAUAGAGAAAAUAACCUCACGAAGAGGCAAAUACAAUUGAUACACUGGCACUUGUCCCGUAAAGUUCUCCCCAUUGAUGAGCUUAAAAUUACUUAAUAUUUAUGCCCGCUUCGUGUCUUUGAGUUGGUUGAUUCGAUAGAGAUUUGGUCUGAUUUGGGUCUAAUAUGUUGUUUUUCAGUGCAAGUGGUGCAGAAGGGAUCAAUGGAUUAAGUAGAAGGAAGACAAGUUGAGCAAG